AUUAAUCUCUUUUGUGGUGGCACAAAAUCGGAAGCCCCGACUGUUUACUAAAAACACAGCUAUCUGCAACGAUGUAAAUCAUAGUAUAGGUAGUGAGGUUUGCCCGAUGCCAUUAAUAUAAGAGAAGUGAUGGGUAACUGUUAAUUAUCGAAAAUCUGGUUAAUAGCGGUCUUAACUAUGAGGAUCCUAAGGUAGCAAAAUAAAUUGGCCAUUAAAUGUGGUCCGGUAUCAAUAAUUUA
rnacentral:rRNA from 1 species